GAAACCCAGCCCUGCCCACUGGGUGAAACUGCAAGUCGAGAGCGUGGGAAACCAGCAAGUUGAGAGAGGAUCCAGAAGUAACCCCUUCUAAAACGGGAAAGAUGCCUUCCGAAAGCACUUGGCCCUAAAGAGAAAACACUAGGAGGAUGGGAACCAGGGACAGAGAAGCUACUUGCUCUGCAGCUGUUUGGGCCAGGAGAAGACCACAGAAGCUCUGCAUUUGGAACUUUUCCUGGAUUCUGUCCCAUUUGCUUCUUCCCAUGACCGAUUUUGAUCUACCACCCUGGCCCAUCAUGCCCCCAUCCUGUACCUAUAAAAACUCUGAGACCCUCGCAGGCAGAGACACAAGCCGCUGGACGUCGAGAGGAACACAUUGGUGGAGGAACUCACAGGUGGCUGGAUGUCAAGAGGAACACACUGGCGGAAGAGCACACUGACAAGCACCAGCAGACAACGGCACGCUGGGGCACGCCGGCAGGCCAUCAACCUGCAGAACGAUGUGGAGUUUGGCCUGGGCAGUCGGAGGAGAGUCCAGCUGCUGAGCAGUCCGACUCCAGGAAAAAAACACCUUCCCAUUCCAUCUCCCUUCUGGCUCUCCCAUCUUCUGAGAGCUACUUCCAUUCAAUAAAACCUUGCACUCAUUCUCCAAGCCCAAGUGUGAUCUGAUUCUUCCGGUACACCAAGGCAAGAAACCCUGGGAUACCGAAAGCCCUCUGUCGUUGCGAUAAGGCAGGGGG
rnacentral:lncRNA from 1 species